GGCCUGGGUUUAGCUAAAGUGCAAAUUUAGCUUAGAAAUUGUUUUUCACAGGCCU
rnacentral:tRNA from 1 species